rnacentral:lncRNA from 1 species
CAAUAUAUGCACACUAUCAAUAUUUGUCCUCAUCCUCUGACAGGAUUUCAAAUAUUUUGCUUUAUUUUGUUCUUCUGAGCAGUUCUGAGCACAACAACUAGUGAGGCAUGUCAGGUUAAGUAUCCUUCUCAAUCGAACCUGGACAAAUUUAGCAUAAAAGAAGAGAAGCAUUUCCAGCAGGUACAGAAUAAGUUAUAGGAUGUCUUGCUAUAAAAUUAGUCCAUCCAUACAACAUUAAAUAAAUCAUGUUAUAGCAUUAAAGCAACAUCUUGUGAAAAUUUCUUCUGAUCUUUGUUCAAGUGUAGCGCCACUCAAUAAGGUGAAUUAGAUGAAAACUCAUAACACACUUUCCUUCUGGUCAGAACUCCUAAUAUACAUUGCCUUGAAAUUCCGACUCUUUGUUACCUAUGAAAAAAACAGCAUUAUGUUAUUUCGUGUGGCACAUAAUCUUGCAUGCCAGAAAUGCCAGAUUUAACUAAACAAUGCCUUUGGAAUAGAUUCUGCAUCAAUGACAGUAUAAUUAAUCCCUCAUGACAGGUUACAUCUAGGAUACCUCAUUGCAUGAACACCCCCACACCAUAGCAAACAAAUGGUUGCAGCAACAUCAUUGUGAAGAACAGACUUUGCGAAAAUUCCUCCUGAGAUUGUUCACAAUGUAGGUCAUUGUUACACCUAAUUAAAUUACACAAUCCAUCCACACAACAUUAAACAAAACAUGGUUAUAGUGUUAGUAUGAAGCAACAUCCCAUGAAAAUUCCUCAUGAGCUCAUCUACAGUCUAGCACAAUUGGUAACAGAGUAACUAGAUGGAAACUAGUAAUAUAAAUCCUUUCUCGCACCUUUGACAUCUAGGAUUUCCCCACUGUAUCAACCCCACCACAGCCCCCCCCCCCCCCCCCCUUCAAAAAGGAAAAAUCUGUCCUCCUUCAUAAAAUUCUUCACAUUUCAUAAUCUUCAAUUAGCAAUCUAGUCUUCCAUUCCUUUCCAUCCUUGUUUUCUUCCAAGAUUCAUUUCCAUCCAACAUCAACAUCUCUGCUACAGUAAGGCUCGUAUCUGCUCGCCAACAUUCUGAGCACACAUUUGCGACCUUAUAGUGGCCCAUAACUUUCGCAAACAAUAAGCUUUAUCUUAUUUAUUAAUGGGUACACCAUUCAUACAAAUUCUUCCACAUCUUCACAAGUUUUUCACGGUCCACUCUUCAUACUUUCAGGAAUCUACACACCUAUAAUUAUUGCACUCCUGAUUUGGACUUCAUUAUACUUGACCAUACCAACAAAUGCUUUCCCCACCACUUUAACCUCUACAAGUCUAGAAUGUAAUAUCUCAAUGAUACCUUUCAGCAGGAGCACAAGGGCUAGAAAGCAUCCCUAGAUGAUUGAUAUGGACCUCAACAGGGAAUUUGAUUUCAAUCAAUGGAUGGAUCCCAUCAAACUCCCCCGACAAGAUAUGGCUUUUAAUUAAUUGGACCAGGACCACGGCUUCCAAAAGACUUAAUAGUGACUAGUAAAUACUCCCUGGAAUUAGAAAACAUCCCAUUAGCAAACCUAAUUGAUAGGGGAAAAAGUAAAGAAGAAGGAUAUAACUGAAUUUUUAAUUGCUUGGUCAAACACAUGACUUGAACAUGAGCGUAGAACCAAUACACAAUAACAUUUAAUAUUCUAGAUGUUAAUCAUAUCCACAAAGAAACGAGGGCUGGAUGUCAACUCCUGUUUGGAAACACUACAAAUAAUCUUACCAGUUCAAUUUUCAACAACCGCUCAGCCUUGUGGAGGCUCCAUCAUUAGUGCCCUUAAUGUUGUCGAUACCGAUAAUUAGCACUCUUAUAUGUUUUCUCCUUUUCAAUAUUUAAAAAAAUUGGAAUAUUCCUUUUCUUUUCCAGUCAUCACAUGUCUAAAUAACUUAAGAUCUGCAUCACCUGUCUUAAUAUUCUCUCCAUCUAAUCAAACUAGGUUCAGCAGUGGAGAUACUAUGCUCCAGUAGAUCAUAAAAUUUAUUCCACAUAAUUGGUGCAGUCUUGUGCAUGAUCUUUGCAUGUAUCUAGACAAUAGCCACAUCAUAAGAUCCAAUCUGUUCAGAGACAAGAUAUCAUCAUGAAGGUAAGGCCCUGUCUUUGCAACUGCACUAUCAAACUCUUUAUCUGCCACCACAACACAUGUCAAUUUAUUCAAUGAGCAUUUGAUGACUACACAUAAGAUUCAUGAUGUUAUAAAAGGACAGUACCAGACCCUGUUUUAACUCCAUAGUUACCAUUAAAAUUUGCAUUUACAUUAAAAUGUGAAUAGCCUGUUAUAAGGAAUGCUUUACAAAAAGUAGCAGGACAAAUUAAUGUAUCUUUUUAUUUUAGUUAAAGGUAACUAAAAAGAAUAGCAGCAACAGCAUUGAGCUUCUUAUAAUCAUAAAAGCUAGUAGAACAGAAGACAUGGUGUCUAGUCAACCUGAAAAAACAUCAAGUUUGGACUUCCUAUAGGUCAAUGUUAAACAACUUGCUUACUUCAGACAAAGUAACUAAACAUAUAUUGCAUAGAUGGGUGUGAUCAUACUCACCUACAAAAAAAUUGGAUAAUUAUCAUAUUUUAAGCAAUUCAUGUAUGCUGUCUUAGGCAUUCAAGAAUAAAUAUUGGUGAAUAGCAUAGAGGUAGGUAACACAAAUAGCUACUAGAGUUAAAUGGUUGAAAAAUGAGUUCCCAUUAUUGUGUGUGUGUGUGAGAGAGAGAGAGAGUUUUAUUCUUUAUGAGCAUGUCUAUAAAAGAUUAGCUUCACUGUGCCUACAUUUAGACUGUAGAGCAUCAUAUUGUACACAAUCAGUCUUUUAAAAGGCUAAAUCAGGGAUGAGGCCGCUCAGCCUCAAAAUACAAGACAUAAGCCUCAAGGCCAUUUAAAGCAUAAGCAGCAGAUUAAAGCAAAGCCUCAAAUUAAGACCAAUAAAUUACAGAUAACAGUAACACAAUGACAGGGUAUCCAGUGUAGGCUAUAAUCUUAAAUUUGCAUAUAGAAUAGGACAAGGUUUUAAAUCCUAUUGGAUGAAGGUGUCCCAGUUUCUCUAUAGAAUGGGACAUCCUAUGGUCACGUCUCGUCCCGAUAGCAGUCCCGGUCAUGCAUCCCAAUAAAUACCUCCAUCAUUCUCUCUUUCUUCUUUCCCUUUUUUCUUGUUUUCUUUUUUUCUUUCUUCCUUCUUUUCUUUUUUCCUCUACCUUCCUUUCUCUCCUACCUUUUUCUUUCCUUUUCUUCUUCCUUCCUUUUUUUUCCUCCAUUUUUCUUCUUUUUUCCUUUCACUUUUUCCUUUUCUUCAUCUUUCCUUGCUUUCUUCUUUUCUCCCAGCAUGAAUGGCUUUCAGAGUCCCGAACCUAUCCCAGUUCUAUUUUCUCAUAGGAACAAGAUGAGAAGGCCAGGACACCCCCUAUCCCGCCGGGAUGUAAAAAUUUGGAAUGGGGACGAGGAAAUGAAGUAAACCAGUUUACAGCUUUCCUAAGGCUGUUUUGGCCAUCAAGUAAGUUAUAAGCUAAGUUUUACAUUUCAAAACUUAAAGGGAUAGUAAAUGAGGAAACCAAGAGUUGUAUGCCUGUUUCUUGCCUUAAAAGUCAUUGUAAAGUGUAUGUUUUAAUUCAUAGAUGUAAGCCUUAGAAAGUGACCCCAAGGCAGAAGUCUUGGGCUGUUUUUUAACUGUCUCGCCUUGAGGCUUAAGCUUUUCUAAGCCCCAACGCUAGCUUCUAAAACCAUGUAUUAAGACAUAAAAUAUCAGGAAAGGAACUUAGUUGUGUACAUAAACCACAUGCUAUUCUAAUAAAGCCAGAGUUCCCUAGGUGAUACACAAUAAAAGGAUCACAAAUACAUCAUCAUGCAAGGCUAUAAGCUAUGCAGCUUCCUGAACUUUGGCAGGCAUUUAGGUGCUCACAGACCAGCCUGAGGAUACCCAGCUAUACCUGCUACACCUAAAGGCUAACACUUUGGCAGCAAAUUUUGACAACAUCGGUUGUAGUAAUAUGUAAUGGACUGUUCUCAACUGAUUUGCCAUUUGAGUAGAAAGAGUAAACCUUUUGGCAGAUCAUAAGAAAAGUAAACUAUAGCUCCAGGAGCAAAGCCAGCUGAAUAGAAAUCCUUUGAAGCAUCUUUGACUAGCUUCUUUGGAGGAGUGGUAUCUUGAAGCAGACAAAAAUAGUCAGGGUGACUUUCUGCAUGCAUAGACAGGAAUAGCUAUUUAUCUUGAUGAACAUGUAAACAUGACCUGAGGAGAUAAUAAAAAUGUUCAUGAUAUCUUUAAAUCCAAGCUACUGAUGUAGAUGCAGUUAUUUUCAAUAUUUUUGCAAAAUAUCAUGCAAGAAUAUUCAAUUUAAAUCAAGAACUACUAAAAUUAUAUAAUUUUACAGGGUUCACACACAUUAUGGAUCAUAGUUGAACCCCUAAGAUAACAUGACAAUUCAGUGGCAACCAUUGAACAGUACAUCACUAUUUAUGGGCUUGUCUUGGCCGGCUCAAGCUGUUCAUUGAUUAGGGAUGGUCUGCUGCAAGCAUGGCCAGUUAACAGCCCUAGGUAAAUCAGUAGCAUUUCUAGGAUUUUGGUGGCUGUCAAUCAAACUGAUUUGAAAAAUGGGGAGGUAGGAGUAUCUCAAAAAGAGAACACAGAAAGGAUUUUAAAAAGAGUAUACCUGAAGAUCAGGCAGGAAAAACAAAUUUUUGUGAAAAAAAAAAGGAUCUAAAACAAAUGCUACAAAAAUGGAGAUACUUGUAUUGGAUAAUGCAAAACAAUAGCACAUGAGACAGAGAUACAAGAUGUGGAUCAAUGGGCGGCCCCUCAUUUAUCCCCUGUUCAAAGCAGAAUGCAAGAUACUAGUAGAGAUGAUGGUGGAUCAGAUAACAGACAAUCUGAAGAUUUUGAUCAACGAUUUGAUCAUGAAAUGUUUAGCUCAAAACAUCAAACAAGGAUCUCCAAAGAUAGCUAGAACAUUAAGAUCAGUAAUAGAGGUAGGAUGAGUCAACAAGUAAAGAUCAAUUAGAGCUCCAGAGGGAGUCAGAGAGUUGCAGUUGAAAAAGGAUAUGAAAAGUCGAAAUCAAAAGAAAAGACAACAAUUGAUCCAAUAAAGGCAAUUGAUGAUGUGCAGGUUCAAGAUGGUGAUAGUGAGACACUCAAGCCCUCAGAUCUUGAAUUGCCUAGAUCAUCUCAUGAUAAUAGCGGUAAUGAUAAUGAUAGCAAGAAUGAUGAUAGAUCUGAUGAUCAUGAUGGUCAAAAUAGAGGGAGUAGUGAAGUAUAUGAGAUUAAUCCUUUUACUAAAGAAGCAUAUUUCACUUAUACCAUAUAGGACCAGGAUCAUGGAACCAAACCCAGAUCUAGAUAUCAAGACAAGGAGUUGCUAACCUAUAUAAGGAGUGAAAAAAAAAUUAUUGCUGAACGUGGCACACAAACUGUAAAUAUUUUGAAUCAUUUUCACGAAGAAUUGAGAAUAAUUAAGGAAUGUCAAUGUUGGACAUAUCCGAAGUUUAUGGAAUGGAUGGAACAAGAUGCUUUAAGAAGUAGGUCGGAGUCGAAAUAAGUUAGGUCAUCAUCAUUAACCAGAACAGGAUCCAUUAGAGCAUCAGAUAAUCAAAGUGCAUAUCAUGGUUCUUUUCUUUCUACGAAUGAUACAGAUGUAUACUCCCAAUUAUCAUAUCCUGAGAAAUAUUUUCAUAUGCAGUAUCCACCUUUAUAUGGAUACACUUUCGGACCACAGUAUGAUAUUAUCUCUCAUUAUCUUAACCAAAGAUGGGCAGUCUUUUAUCCAAGAUAGUCAAAGGUGAAAGAUGCCCUUAAGGCGCUGAGGAGGUCUAGUGCCCUGAGGCGAGAGGCGCUAGAAAAGCACUCGCCCGAGUGAAAUAAGACACUAAAAUUGAGGGACAAAAGCAAAAAAAAUGAUAUAUAAAUAAGUAACAACUAGAGAUAACUAUUGUAAUAUGAAUUACCAUACAAUUAACAAUUUAAGCAUAAAACAUAUAUAAAACAGAAAAAUACUCAAUUGGGUUUUGAUCUUCAAAAAAAAAGAAAAAGAACUGAGAACUGAAACAGAGAAGCAGAAUCAGAAAGCAAAAUAGAGAGAAGCAGAGUUGAUGAGGUGAAGAAUGAAGAGAAAGUGAGAACAACAACUGGAUUUUGAUUUUCGAACAUAAAAGAACCAAAAACUGGCUGUCGUGAGAAGCGAAACAAGAAAUAGAGAAAAACAAAGAGGAACGAAAUAAGGAAGAAGAAAAGACAAGUCAGGUCCAACAAAAGAAAAAAAAAUCAGCAAGAGAAAAGACUGAAACCAAAGUUUCAAGAACCGAUAUCAAGACCCAAAUCGAUUCCUGAUCGAUAUGGUACAAUAUCAGAUACCAUAUCGUAUCGAAUGUUGGUACGGUGUGGCAUACCGAUUUCAUACCAGUGCAUCAUAAAAAGUUUUUUUAUUUUUUUAAUUGAUUUUGAUUUUAAAUAAUUUUUUAUUAAUUUUUAAAUUAUUUUGUAUCCAAAGUAAUGUUUAUUUAUGUUAUAUAACAAUUUUAUCAUCCAAAAAAAAAUAAAAAAAGUCUAAAAUAAUACAUUAAAUAUAUCUAAAGUAUAAAUUAUAAAGAAUAAUAUACUAAUCUCAAGAUCUCUAUUGAUCUAAUCUCUCGUCGAUUGUCCGUGACGCUCGUAAAUAUCCGGAUCAUCUGCAUAUUCCGGAGGGACAUCAGCCCAUUCCUCUAACUAAGUAGCACUGUACUCUUGAAUAUUCAUCUCAUAAAGUAUCCUCUCUGGAUUGUAAGACAUCUCAGAUCUUUCGCUCAAACUCUGACUCUGAAAGGUAUCUUUGGGAUGAUGAUAUAGUUGUAAAGGGGCCCAUCCAAAUAUGCCAGCAGCAAAAUGCGAUUUGUAAGAUGCUCUGAGCUGUAUAUGAUAGUAGCCACUAGAAGAUAUAUAAAAUACACCAUAUCCAUGGAUCAUAAGCUGCCUGCGGAUGAUAGGAUCCAUGAUGUAAAGAUGAUCCAGAUACAUUCAUGGAUCCUACUUCACGUGCAAGGUCAUUUGCAGUUGCAUCAUGUGCUGGACGGCCUCUGAAAGGCCAUUGCCUAUAUGAAAUUGUAUUCUUGCGAGGUCUAUCAGCUUGUGCAUCGUGCUUUCUAUCUUGUGUGGCAUGUAUAAAUUGAGACUCAUCGGUGAAUUGAAUACCAUCCUAUGGUAGCAUCUCAUGAAUAGUGGUCUCAUAUCCUCUAGUCCCUCCCUGAUCAUCAGAUCCAAGACUACUAUCAUCACUCUCACUGCCGCUGAUCUCCGAAUUGGCUGACUCCUACACUCUCUAGGAUGCUGCAACUGUCUUUUUGAAAAAUUUAUCUUUUCGAGCUCCCUGAUGCCCCUCUGUGACUGAUUUUGCUGUAUUUGAAAAGAUGAAUAUCUUCUUCCUGCUUGAGAUGACCGACCUCGUCCCAAUAUUUAUCACUCAAACAUCUGAAAGGAUGUCUCGGAUAUAAAGUCACGUAAUGAAUGACUCCCCUGUGAUCCCUCAGACUGUGGCUGAACAAUUGGAAUCUUAUACGAAAUAUUUAUAUCUGCCCACUAUCUUGGAUCCACCCUGAUCUCUCUAGCUACCACAUUGGCUGGUUGUGGAGGGGAUCAAGGCUCAUCAAUUUUUGACUCCUGCUGCUGGCCUACAAGCCAUUCAAUCAUCGAAUCCUCAUUAUCAAUGGCAUAAACAUCUAUCGUCAGAUCCAUGUACUUCAGCUAUACUUCAUCCUGGACAUAUUUUAGCCUCAAUCUCAAAUUAUAGUGUACAUAUACAAGAUCAUUGAGAUACUUUUAUAUCAAACGAUUUCUCUAUUUACUGUAGAUAAGGGCGAAAGUCGAUCAAUUAAGCUCACACUCACUAGAGAAGACUGUCUGGAAAAGAAUGUGGAUGGCCACACUUUUCAAAUUUUGUACGGACUGUCCAAAUUAAAUCCACCAUUCAACUGUAGAAUAUUAAACAAAAUUACAUAUUAGAUUUUAUGAUAUUAAUCGGCAUAUAAUGUCAACAAAGUCCUCAGUACUAAUAUAUAAUUUAUUUGAAUUCAUCUUCUUUUUGCUUACGACAGUCGAUGAGACUCCAAAGCUAUCUGUCUUCUCUCUAAACUAUUUCAUCUGUCAAAAAUAUAUUUAUUAAAUUAAUAAAUAUAUUAUUAAUUACAGAUCGAAUUAAGUUAAAUGGUCGCAUCUUAAUUGACCUAAAUCCCUUUUGCAGAUAUAUAGAUGCGAUUUCUGAAUCAGACACCAUCUUAUAUAUCACAUUACGGAGAGCAGUAAGAAGCUUAUUAUCCACAUCUAUCCCAAAUAUGAUGUACUGAAAUCUCGGAUUCAAAUAGUACGCAGAAAAUAAAUUCCACAAAUGAUUAAAUAGAUUUAUACAAAUACAAAAAAAAAUUCAGAUGAUUCUUGAAUUCGUGCUUACUAGCUAGAUGCAAAUCUCUACCCAUUUAAUAGUCCCAACGGCGCUCAAUGAUAUUGAUGUAUCUCUAAACAUGUUUUAGAUCUAUCUCGCUGAUGUGUUUCUUUACUCUUUCCAUUAUAUGAUAUAAGAAAUCUAUCUGGGAGUAUCUUUCACUAUCGACGGUGCGAAGCACCUCAUAUAAUGGUUUGAUAACCUUCACUAUCUUAUCAGUCUGUUAUCAGAAUGACUGGUUGGUCAUCAAGUUCUUCACAUGACUUCUAUCAGUACCGACUCUCACAUAUCUGCUUUCCUAUCAUUCGGCACUGAUGCAAGGCUGCCUUCUUUUGCAGAAGGCUAUCAAAUGCUAUGUAGUUUAUAGCAAACCGUAUAACACCCGAUCUCAAGAUCUCUCCCCCAGUAUAUUUUUGCAUCAAUGACAGGACCCAUGUAUGAUUGUAAAUAAACCUAGUAAUAGACUGAGCUGAGUCUAUUGCAUGCUGUACUCUACGAAGCUUUCCAAUAACCAUCAACAUGAGGUCAAUGCAAUGUGCAGCAAUGAUGUCCAGUAAAUGUACAGUCGCUGCUCCAUCAGUAACUCACCGAUGGCCUUAUAUUACGGCCCAUUAUCUGUGAUGACCUGCACGAUAUUCUGCUCUCCUAUUGAAUCAAUCACCUCCUCCAUCAGUCUAAAGAUAUAUGCAGCGUCGUGCACCCUAUCUAAAGCAUUAAUUGAUUUAUAAAAAAUAUUUUUCCAUCAUAAUAUAUCACAAAAUUGAUGAUACUCCAUCUAGUAAGACUGGUUCAACCAUCACACAUCACCAUCAAUUCAUAUAUGGUCCAUUUAUUCUUGUAAAAAAAAAUUCAUCUUUCCAAAUAUUUCUUAUUACUAUCAAGAAGCUGAUCAUAGAUAUCUCUAGGUGUUGGAGGAUCUACACCAGGACCGAUAGCCUGUAUGGCUGAAAUGGCAGAUCGAUAGUGAGUAUUGCCUGCUGCAUUCGUUGGAAUAUGACUAAAAUAAAACCAUCAUCCAAUAGCUCACCACAUAUCUUUCUUCAACAUAGUGUCAACCCUCUGUUGUUUUAAAUCUUUACUGAAAAAAGUCUGUAGAUCCAAAUAAUGGAUGGUGGCUCCUAUUGGAAUGUCUCUAGAGAACCUCCUCCUACUGCUAAAAGCCCCCAAUAUCGAUGAAAUAUUAUGUCUGCCUCUACGGACCGACUCUCUAAUAGAGAUGGUCCUGAACUCAGACUCUUUCCUAGCGAUUACAGAGUCAGACCUCGAUUCAUAGAAUGACAGUCUAAAUCACUCUCUAUAUCUGGUCAUCACCUCCAACCGCUAUUAAUCAUCCAGACUCACCUGAAUGGUAGCCUCAAUCUGUGCCUCCUCAUCAUCUGGAGCAGAGGCCUCCUCUGACUCUGUAGAAUGAUAUGAAGAUGACUCUUCGACUUGACGAUCCACCUCCAUCCUCUUCUGCACUGCCCUCUACUUCGCUGCUUUAGAAUCAGUGAAGUACUUCGUCAUGAGCUGUUGGACCUCCUGUGGAUAUUUUUGAUAUAUGAUCAAAUCAGGAUAACCACUAGCCAAAUGCUGCUUCAACCUAGUCAUCCAUCCUUUUUUGAACUCUAUGCUGCACCAUUUGCAUCUCCAAUGGUGUAGAGCCGAAAGCAUCUCGCUACGGUCACAGUCAAUGUUACACUCUGACUCCUUACUCAUUUCUACAAGUUUAACAAAAUAGGAUAAUUUAAUAAUCAUAAAAAAAAAUAAUACUCAUUUCUCAUAAUUUUUAUUUAUAUAUAAAUUUUAAAAUUUUAAUAAUAAUUUUAAAUCUCAUCAAUUCAAAAAAUAUAUUAUGAACUUCAAAUAAUAAUUCUGAAUUAGCUAAAAUAUAUUAUUAAUUUUAUAUAUUUUUAAUUAGUUACAUAUUUUUAAUUAUUUAAAUAAUUAAAAAUAUUUUUAAAUUUUAAAAUUUAAAAAAUAUAUUUGAGAUUAGAUCCAAGUAGAAACAUGUCAUAGAUGCUACAUAUAUUUUUCUAAACCCAUUAACAUGCAUUGGAUACUAUUUAUUUUUUAUUUUAUUUAAAAUUAAGCCUACGCUAUUAUGCAUAUCAUGCAUUAAAAUUUUCACAAUCAAAUAUAAAAUUUAUACUAAAAAUAAUUUGAAUCAUCCUAAACAAUAUUUUGAUUUUAUAAUUUUUUGAAAUUUAUUUUUUAAUAAUUUUUAUAGCAAAAAUAUAUAUAUUUAAAAAAUUAAUUAAUAAAAAUUAAUGAUUUUAGUGUCAUCAUGUAAAUGAUCCAAUGAUCUACAAAAAAAUUUUAAAUAUCGGUACUGGACCCGUGCCAAUUAUCGAUCGGUACGGUGCGGUAUGAUACGAUACCGUACUGGCCCAUACCUAUAAUAAAAAAUUCAAAAAAAAUUCCAUCCAAUAGUCAGAAAAAAAAUCAAGCCAUACCCCGCCGUAUCGGUGCUACAUAUAUUUUUAAAUAAUUAAAAACUAUAUAUAUUUAAAUAAUUAAAAACUAUUUUUAAAUUUUAAAAUUUAAAAAAAUAAUUUGAGAUUAGAUCCAAGUAGAAACAUGUCAUAGAUGCUACAUAUAUUUUUCUAAGCUCAUUAACAUGCAUUGGAUACUAUUUAUUUUUUUAUUUUAUUUAAAAUUAAGCCUACGCUACUAUGCAUAUCAUGCAUUAAAAUUUUCACAAUCAAAUAUAAAAUUUAUAGUAAAAAUAGUUUGAAUCAUCCUAAACAAUAUUUUAAUUUUAUAAUUUUUUUAAAAUUUAUUUUUUUAAUAAUUUUUAUUACAAAAAUAUAUAUAUAUUUUAAAAAAAUAAAUUAAUAAAAAUUAAUGAUUUUAGUGUCAUCGUGUAAAUGAUCCAAUGAUCUACAACAAAAUUUUAAAUAUCGAUACCGGAUCCGUGUCAAUUAUUGAUCGGUACGGUGCAGUAUGGUACGAUACCGUACUGGUCCGUACCGACAAUAAAAAAUUCAAAAAAAAUCCCAUCUAAUAAUCAGAAAAAAAUCAAGCCGUACUCCACCAUAUCGGUGCGGUACCAUACCGGCCCAUACCACACUGUACCAUAUGGUUCGGUCCGAUUCAAGUCAUUUUUUGAAAAACCAACUUGAACCGAACCGAUUCCCCACUGAUACGGUACAGUACAAGGUGUAUCGAUCAGUUCGGAUCGGUAUGGAAUACCAUGAUCUACAAUAUAUAAUGAAAUCAUAUCAAAAUCAUAAAUUUUGACAUGAUUUCUCCCUAUUUUUCUACUUCUUAUCAUUUUUUGGCCAAAAAAAAUAAAAAUAAAAUUUUAGUGACAGAAUGAUGGAUUACCUUACUUUCGGUCAAAAUAUGUCGUCUUCUCGAAGAAGUUGUGAAAAUUUUUUGAAAUUUUUCCUCUUUUUUUGGGCUUCGUUCAUGUGUGUCAUCACCCCAUUGAAGCUUAAGAGCUUCUCAGGCUCUCUGCCUUUCAUUCGAAAGGCAGAGCACCAGGCCACCAAUUAUUGGGAGCACCCACCCCACAAACAUCUCCCCACAUGAUCGGUAUGGCUUGGUUCGGGCCCGAACCGAGCCAUACCACCUGGUUUCAAAUAGUUUGUGCCUAAACUGUUCCGAACCAAUCGGUUUGUGCCUAAAUCGAUUCGGUAUGGUUCGCAUCAUUUCUCAAAAAUUAGGGCCGAAUCAGACCGAUUCUCCACUGGUUCGGUUCGGUACAGGGUGUACUGGUCGAUUCAGAUCUAUACGGAAUACCUUGACUGAAACCAAUGAUGGAAGAAGAAAAAACAAGUUAGGUACCUAAAAAGCUGGCUAUUGUGGUCCCCUUCUGCACAAAAAACAAGUUGGGUACCUGGAAGGCUGGCUGCUGUGGUCUCCUUCUGCAGAAAAAACAAGCUGGGUACCUAGAAAGCUGGCUGUUGUGGUCCUCUUCUGCCUCCCUUUUCUUGAUAGACUCCUAUGGUCCUUGAUCGCCUCCCUUUUCUCUCAAUUUUCUUUUGUUUAAAUAAUAAUAAGUCAAUAAAGUCAAAACUAAUUUUUUCAUACUAAUUGACCACUUUACCUCCUAUUAGUAAUAGAGUUGAGAAGUUAAAUGGAUGGCCUUUUAGAUUUUUUACGCUUUUUAUCCAUUAAAAAAAUAAUAAUCAUAGAAUUCACUGAAGCACCCAAGCCAAGCGCCUCGCCUCAAUGAAAAAGGCCCUAAAAGGCGCCAAAGGCAUGCACCUGAGUGAAGGUGCAUCACUUGAAGCAUCAAGGGACGAUGACCCCUUCUAGCACCUUGCUUGAGUGCCUGAGAUGCACCUUUUGGCGCUUUUGACAUCACUACUCUUAUCCAAUGUACUAUCAAAAGGAUUAUCACAGACAACAUCAAAUACAAGAUGAGCAAUAAAGAUGGGCUCAAUAUCAAAAUUGGCAUCCUAUUCAAGACCCCAAUUAUGAGCAGGACCCAAAUGUUUAUAAGCAUUAUAGAUAUUCCACCUUGAAUUAGUAGUAAAUUUAAAAAGUUUAUCUUAAACUAAUAAUCUAUUUUGUGUAGUAUUGAAAUUAUUAGCAUAGUUAUAUUUUCAUAUACAAGUGAUUAAGCUCAAAUAUUAUGGAUUAUAGCUUUUUCAUCAAACUUUGAUAUUUUUACUUUAUCAAAUACUCAUGGAUGCAUCAAUUAUGAGAGAUCAUUGCUUCAUAAUCAAAAAAGAAUCUUCAAUAACCUGAAAGAUUAUAAUACAUCAUAGCGUUAGUAUUAAAUAGAAUCGAUUUAUUAUAAAUAUAUUGCUUCUGAAGUUCAUAUAUAUUUAAACAAUAAAUAGAUUAGUAGAACUUCAAGAUAAAUUCAAAAAAGUAAUAUAUUUAUAUAUAAAAAGACAUCCCGGUACACGUCCGAUCAGGAUGGCCACCGAGAUAGGGUAGGAUGCGGGGCAUCUCGUUCUGAACAAAAAAUUGAACACCCCUACCCCAGGAGAUUUAAAACAUUAGAGACAAUAACUCAUUCCUUUGCAUUUUUUAUGUUCUUUUAACUCAUUCACCCAUUCAGCUUAUCCAAUAAGUAGGAUCCGGCAACUUCACGAUAUUCACUUUCCUUUAGGCAUUGUCUCCAAAGGUAUCAAAGUUUUACAAAAACUUGAUAUUCAAUCUCCAUAUUUCAGUCCUCCACAACCCCUUUUCUUAAUGAGACAUUGUUUUAAGGUUAAAUAUCUGAAUCAUCUUUGAAUUCAAAUUCUUGGUUCGCAGCUCAUGAUUAGGUCGAUGAGGAUACUAUUAAAAUGCUAAAUUGUUUGUUAGUUUUAUGAAUACCAUUAAAGUGAGUAUUUACACCAAUGCACAACCAUCACAAUCAAUAGUCACCAUAGGGAUGAAAAUCUGAGAGAUGUUUACCAACGAAAGCUGACAGUGACACAUGAGACAUACUGUUUGCAAUCAAAAAUUGGCAAAUAACACUCCCGAGUGCAACACGUACUUUAGAACUUUGACUGAUGCUGAGGUUCCAAUGUAUAUGAAAGUAAAGAGUGAUUUUAUUGACUAGGAAUGAAAAACUGGACAGGACAAUAUAUGACAGAUGGAAAUGAAUAGAUUUCCUUGCUUACAUCCAAUAAGAUAUCAUCAAGUUCUCAAUGCAGGGGUUAUUAGUUAUCAUAAACUAACAACAACAGCAGGGGAUUAACUUGGCAAGAGGCCUUUGCUCAUUCACUUUCCUUCUAGCAUGAAUAAGUUAGAACUUUCUGGGCAAUCCCAAGAUACUAAGUACAUUUACCAAGCCUGUUUUAAACUCUCUGUGUCAAAAAGCAAAACUUAUUCUUAUGGCAAUUGAUGAUCUCCAGACACCAACACUUUCUACUGGAAACUUAGCAAAACAAGAUUGAAAUUCACAAAGACCGUAACUUAAUUCCAGAUAUAUUGUAGAUUCAACAUAUAAUAUGGCUUUUUAACUUGAUUAUUCCAGCCAAGCAUAGCCUAAGCAUUCCAAGAGGAGGGAGAAAAAUGGAUCUGCCUGGCUGUAUAUGGAAAUGUCUGUCAACAGAAAGCCAAGUUCACAUCUCAAUGCAUCAUUUCUUCCAACAUAUCAAUAGAGGAAAUUUUCUCUCCAUGGUUUAGAUUCCUUUUUCUUUUUCCUUCAGUGAUGUUAAGCCUAAUAUUCCAAGCUCAUCCAUUGCAAUAUUUCCCUAGGGAACAGCACUCAACUUGGAAUUUGGCUUUAUUCUCACACCGACUUAGCACAUACAAGAAGCUCCUUAGUUAAUAACCUUUUCAAUUGCUCACACAUUCUACCAAUGUAAACUGGGAUUCAAUUACAGUCCAAUUAGGGAUUCCUUUGAUCCCACCAGUUAAGGGGGGGAAAAACCAUGAAUCAGACGAACCAUUUUCCAUGUCCGAAUAUAUCAACCAAUUUCAAAGGCGAUGGUUUCCAAGGAUGGAACUAUGAAUAAGAAAUUAGAAUUAGCAAAACAAAAUAAAAUUUAACAAUUGAAUAUGAAGAAAAACUACUUAAAAAGGUUUUCCUCCCAUAAACUGUAUCAGUUGCAUAUUCUAUGACCUAUUUAAUAUUUCAAGAAUUGGUGGAAUAAAGUUCUUUGUUUUAUGGCUGUUGCAUUUAAUUCCAAUAGUUCCAUAAAUAAGUGUCUGGCACUCUGGCCAUUCAUAAAAUAUUUAAAAAGACAAUUUUAAUUUUGGACAGGCAAUAAGUCUAACAAAGUGGGGCUUGCAGCGAGGAAGAGGUAUCCACCAUAAUGUCAAUAUCUUACAAAGCAUACUUUCUUUAGUGGUAGAAAGGCAGGUUAUCACAAGAGCAUCUAGAAACUCCCGGCUUAGGAGUAAAAAAGCUGAUUGCCAUGUAAAAAACUUAUCGCCUUCAAGUAACUCAAAGAGUCAGGUCAAGUCAACUUGUUGAGAACGAACUCUAGAUAUCUUAUCAUUCACCGAGAAACCACUAGCAUGCUCGACUUACUUUUAAAGCACUAAGACUUUGAAAGCAAAAAAAUAAACUUUUAUACAAAAAAAUCCAUGGGUGAGCAAUUAAAACAUUUUCUCAAAUAAGAGAAGAUCUACAGCAGUUUAUUAGUAAGGCAAGAAAAGUAUAUUUCACCCUAUACUUAUAUGAGGUAGCAUCUUCAUCUUUUGAAAUGAUGUGUUCAACUUGUGGAAGAUCAAAUUCAUCCAAACGCAAGAGAAGUAGGCCAAAAUCAAAUCCAAUCCAGCUCAUCACAAACCCAAGCAAGCUCAAAUUUAAUUUAGAAGUUAAAGCUAGAUUGACUUAAGACUUGUGAGACCAUAUCCAGCCCCUUGGAAUCAAACAGAGUUGACUUCAUAUUUCCUUAUAUUCUAUCUUAAAAUUACUAUACUCAAAGCUGACACAAGCAUAAGCCAUAUUCACCCUUAUUUGAGUUAAAUAAAUAGCUAAUUUCAUGUCUAAAUCCUAAAUCAUCACCCAGCAUAGGUGAGGUUUAGUUCAUGCCAAUUCCAAACAUGACUAGACCCAUUUACACCAAUACUUCUGCCUAUACAUUUUAUCUGACCCUCUUUAUUGUGCUCCCUGCAAUCAGAUGAUUUUGUGUCAAGUAUUUACCAAACACCAGAUAUGAAACGAAGCAUUUCUCUUGAAUGCAGCUUCAUGCAGGCACUUUCUUACCGAGCCCUAUAAAAAGAAACUGUAGUAGCAACAUCAAAGAUGUAUAUUUACAGUGAAGGAGUCUAGCAGAGCCCACCGUUGUUUUUGCAGUGAAGAAACAACACUAAUUUUAUCCAUGAGACUUCAAACAGUGCCCUCAUGUCCUUGUGAGUUAUGACAGCAAGAAACGAAACUAAGUUAAAAUCGAAUAAUGUUUUUUUAAAAAAAAAGCAACCAAUGACUCCCUGGAAAUUCACAUCAAGCUGCCAAUUCUGAUGGAUUUUAAAAGCAGCAAAAUCAUAGCUUACUUCUUUACCCUAUGAUCCAUCAAACACAACUCAAAACCGCACUUGUUUAAAAGCCGAACUCUGAAGACGGCCAAGUUUGCCAAAUAUUUUGAUGAGCGGUUUCCUCUGUUUGGCCCACUCGUAUCUCUCGUACUCAAUACUAAAAACAUAUUGAUCAACAAAUCUAUCAAUCACAUUGCCUUUCGAGCAAAACCAAAAUUUGAUCAAAAACCCACAAAUCCCCGAAACUUCAACAGAAAUCUAAGCACGAUUGAUUUGAUCACUCGAUCCCCACACGGAAUUUCACAUAACACCCAAGAAAACAAACACUAUCAUUGUAGAGACCAGAGAUUGCAUCCAGCGUACAAAAGAACAAGCAUCCAGAGUGGAACACAGUAAGCGAAUAGAUCAGUCUAAAGAAGAACAAUUAACUAACGAGAGAGAGAAGAAGACGGGCAGAGAAGACCUUGGCUUGGUGUGCCUCCAUGGAUCUCAGUCUCAGUAGUUUCUUCUCGCUUUGGGAAUCGAAGGUGCAGAGGUUCCCCGAUUUAAAAGAAGGCGGAAGGGGUUCUAUGUGCUAUAGACCAGCCGCAAUGGUGGGCCAGCGGCGAACAUUGCAGGGGAGCCUCUCCAUUACCG